CUCCUCCGCAGCCGGCCGAGGUGGAAGGGGGCAGAUGAAGAUGCUGGAGGAAGCCUCUGCGCGUGGCGGCACGUGUUCGCCGCCCCACGUCUCUGCUCCAGCCCUGCUGCCACGUGCCAGGAUGCCGGAUGCGGCCGCGCAGGGAUCUGCCAGGGAGCCCCAGGGAGCGCCCAGCCCCGACGGGCAUCCGCUGUCCGACAGCUCCUUGGUGCUGCUGCUGCUGCGACAGGGACUUGACUCAUCCCGGAAGGGAUUAGGGACACGGGAGCUGGGUGACAUUCUGGUCCGACCAGCCUGUCCACCACCGGGAUGGACGUCGCCGUCGGAGCAGGUCCCUGCUGCCCGCUGCCACCGGUGGCCCCGGGGGACAUGGCUGAGGUGGGCACCACGAUGGGACCCGCGCGGCCCCUGGCCCGGGGCGCCRGGCUCGCCUGGCACGGUGAGGCUCGGCGGAGGGCUGGGGCACCCAGGGGUGGCCGGAGCACAGCGGGGUGCGGGUCGGGGUGCUGGGGACAGCUCGGACUCCGUGGGGCUGGGCUGGGGUAUGGGGCUGGCCUUGGGGGACGCUGCCGGGCGCCGUGGGUGUCACCACGGCUGCGGCUGGCAGUGCCRGGGAUGCUGAGUGCUGCUUUCGAGGGCUCCGUGUACUGCUUUCCCCGGGGCUGUGAUUUCUCCGGUGAGGAUAGACGUGGGCCCCGUCCGCUCCCCAGGGCGCUGGGAUGGGACAUGGCCCUGGCGGUGGGGUCCUGGCRCCACUGGAGGGGUCCUGGCUUGGGACAGGUUUGGCCAGAUGCAGCUGCCCACGCUGCCACGAGGGAGGCUUGUGCCACGUCAGCAGCCCAUGUCACAUCGGCAGCCUGUGCCACGAUGGGGCCAGGCUGUCCCCGCACCGGGCACCUGGUUCCCACGGCCGGGCUCCCCGCGGCUCUGUCUCCCCGGCCAUCCCGCYGCACCCUGCGCUCUGCAUCCCUGCCCGGAGCUCGCCCCAUGCGGGCGGCUGAUGCCCCUGUUUUGGGGGGGGAGGGAGGUGCGAGCCGGGGCCCAGCCCUGCCACCCCGGCAGCCGGGGCUUUGCGAGGGCGUUGCACAGUUUUGCUCUCGCUCCGACCGAUCCAGCCUCCCUGGGGUCCUGUGGCYGCGCGGGCUCCCGGCUGUGCUCCCGCGGCCCCCCCAGGGGAGGUGCGGACGGUCCCGCRUGGGAUCCACCAGGGUCAUUCCCGAGGGGCUGGAUGCGAGCGGCUGAGCCCUGCAGCCGGGCACUAGGUACAGGAUCCCGCAGGGCGGCACUGCCCGGGCCACGGCCACAGCACGGGACGGCCGGAGUGGUGCCGGGACACGCCGGGGCUCGGCCAUGGCCCCCGGGGCCGGGUGCGGUGGGAGCACCUGCGCCAGCUGGGCCCACGCACGUGCCGGCCGCCCGCUCCCCGCCACCCCCCCGGGGCACGAAACCAGAAGAGCGAAUCCCGGAGAGCAGCGGCCGGGUGCCGCGGAGGCUGUCGGCCCCGUCUGCACUGCGUGGGACCCCCGCGGCCGCUCUGCUCCCAGGGCCGGGCCGCUCACAGACGGGAACGACGCGGGACCCGGCUUCCCCUCUGAGUCACGCGUUGGGCAAGGGCGGGCUUUCACCGCGGCCCCGGCACGUGCGGGAAGCGGCAGCGGAGGGCGCCCGCYGGGACGGUGGCGGGACUGUCCCCACCAUCCCCCCGAUGUCACCCGCCGCUCCCCGGCCCCGAUAUAAGUCGUGGUGGGGUGGGCAGCCGGGGUGGCGCGGGAGGGUGCGAGGGCGUCCCGGUCCUCAGCCCCCCCCUGCACCAGCCCCCAGGUCCUGCAGCGCCGCCGCGAUGGCCCGUCUGUCCCUGCUGCUCCUGCUGGCUGCCGGCCUGACGGUGGCCGCGUCCAACCCCGGCCUCAAGGGCAGGGUGACCCGGAGGGCCCUGGACUACGGCCGGCGGUUCGGGCUGGAAACGCUGCGGUCGCUGCUGCAGAAGGAGCACGUGCUCAACCUGACGGGCUCAUACCGCCUGCCGCUGCUGGGGGAGCUCGCCUUCGCCRUGCCCCGGGUGCGCAUCCACGAGCUGCAGAUAGACGACUCCACCAUGGACUUCUCCGAGGACGUGGGAGUGAGGCUCACGGUCCGGGACRCCCGAAUCCGGCUCAGCGCCGACUGGGCGGCCGAGCUCUGGGCGAUGUGA
ensembl:lncRNA